rnacentral:rRNA from 1 species
ACACUGUCUCCUUUUUCUAAUCAGUGAAACUAAUCUUCCCGUGAAGAAGCGGGAAUAUCCCCAUAAGACGAGAAGACCCCAUGGAGCUUCAAACCCAAUUACACCCCUAACCCCUAUAACUACUUAACCCUUAGGAUUCUGUAUUAUUGGUUUUAGGUUGGGGCGACCACGGAGUACAACAAAACCUCCACAAUGAACGGAACUACUUCCUCAUCUGAGAGCUACACCUCUAAGAAUUAAAAUAUUAACAUAAAAUGAUCCAUUUUUGAUCAAUGAACCAAGUUACCCUGGGGAUAACAGCGCAAUCCAUUUCAAGAGCCCCUAUCGACAAAUGGGUUUACGACCUCGAUGUUGGAUCAGGGUAUCCUGGUGGUGCAGCAGCUACUAAAGGUUCGUUUGUUCAACGAUCAAAACCCU